AGUGAACGCUGGCGGUAGGCCUAACACAUGCAAGUCGAACGGCAGCACAGUAAGAGCUUGCUCUUACGGGUGGCGAGUGGCGGACGGGUGAGGAAUACAUCGGAAUCUACUUUUUCGUGGGGGAUAACGUAGGGAAACUUACGCUAAUACCGCAUACGACCUACGGGUGAAAGCAGGGGAUCUUCGGACCUUGCGCGAAUGAAUGAGCCGAUGUCGGAUUAGCUAGUUGGCGGGGUAAAGGCCCACCAAGGCGACGAUCCGUAGCUGGUCUGAGAGGAUGAUCAGCCACACUGGAACUGGGACACGGUCCAGACUCCUACGGGAGGGAGCAGUGGGGAAUAUUGGACAAUGGGCGCAAGCCUGAUCCAGCCAUACCGCGUGUGUGAAGAAGGCCUUCGGGUUGUAAAGCCCUUUUGUUGGGAAAGAAAAGCAGCAGGUUAAUACCCCGCUGUUCUGACGGUACCCAAAGAAUAAGCACCGGCUAACUUCGUG
rnacentral:rRNA from 1 species